rnacentral:rRNA from 1 species
GAUGAACGCUGGCGGCGUGCCUAAUACAUGCAAGUCGAGCGAACGGACGAGAAGCUUGCUUCUCUGAUGUUAGCGGCGGACGGGUGAGUAACACGUGGAUAACCUACCUAUAAGACUGGGAUAACUUCGGGAAACCGGAGCUAAUACCGGAUAAUAUUUUGAACCGCAUGGUUCAAAAGUGAAAGACGGUCUUGCUGUCACUUAUAGAUGGAUCCGCGCUGCAUUAGCUAGUUGGUAAGGUAACGGCUUACCAAGGCAACGAUGCAUAGCCGACCUGAGAGGGUGAUCGGCCACACUGGAACUGAGACACGGUCCAGACUCCUACGGGAGGCAGCAGUAGGGAAUCUUCCGCCAUGGGCGAAAGCCUGACGGUGCAACGCCGCGUGAGUGAUGAAGGUCUUCGGAUCGUAAAACUCUGUUAUUAGGGAAGAACAUAUGUGUAAGUAACUGUGCACAUCUUGACGGUACCUAAUCAGAAAGCCACGGCUAACUACGUG